AGCCUGACGCAGCGACGCCGCGUGGGUGAUGAAGGCCUUCGGGUUGUAAAGCCCUUUUCUGGGGGAAGAGGAAGGACGGUACCCCAGGAAUAAUUCCCGGCUAACUACGUGCCAGCAGCCGCGGUAAAACGUACGGGGCAAGCGUUAUCCGGAUUCAUUGGGCGUAAAGCGCGUGCAGGUGGUGCUUUAAGUUGGGCGUGAAAUCUCCCGGCUUAACUGGGAGGGGUCGUUCCAUACUGAAACACUUGAGGGCCGGAGAAGGAGGUGGAAUUCCCGGUGUAGAGAUGAAAUGCGAAUAUCUGGGGAGGAACACCAAUGGCGAAAGCGGCCUCCUGGCCUGCUCCUGACACUAAAAUUCGAAAGCUAGGGGAGCCAACGGGAUUAGAUACCCCGGUAAUCCUACCUGUUAACAAUGGAUGCUAGGUGUGGGUGGAAUUGACCCCAUCCGUGCCGUAGCUAACUCGAUACCUAUCCCGCCUGGGGACUACGGCCGCAAGGUUAAAACUCAAAGGAAUUGACGG
rnacentral:rRNA from 1 species